GAUGAAGAACGCAGCGAAAUGCGAUAAGUAAUGUGAAUUGCAGAAUUCAGUGAAUCAUCGAAUCUUUGGACGCACAUUGCGCCCGCCAGUAUUCUGGCGGGCAUGCCUGUUCGAGCGUCAUUUCAACCAUCAAGCCCCCGGCUUGUGUUGGGGACCUGCGGCUGCCGCAGGCCCUGAAAACCAGUGGCGGGCUCGCUAGUCACUCCGAGCGUAGUAAUACAUCUCGCUCAGGGCGUGCUGCGGGUUCCGGCCGUUAAAAAGCCUUAUUUACCCAAGGUUGACCUCGGAUCAGGUAGGAAGACCCGCUGAACUUAAGCAUAUCAAUAAGCGGAGGA
rnacentral:misc_RNA from 1 species